GAAAAAUGCAUGCGCCAACAUCCACCUACAUGAUUCAUUGAAAGACCUUGCUUAUCCAUUCAUCUUCCUCACCACUAACUAGCUAAAUAAUAUUUUGGUACCAUUUCUGACAAUAUAAUUGGCAAUUCCUCAUACGCACACAUUGCAACACCGUCGAUAGUAGUCCAAGUAAAUUUAAUCUCAAUUCCAUCUAGUAAUUGCAUUUACGAGCUUCUCCCUAUAAUGAUGAGCUAAGCCCCCUACAUUGUUUCUCUAUAAUCCUCUGUUCUUUCCUUCACUUAAAAUGGUGUCUUCUUCAAUUGGGUUUAGCUCACCGGCCAACUAACACCACAUUCCGGCCAGCCCUGGAAGCCUAAUAUCAAUGAAAAUCGUCAAUAAAAUGGAAGUUCACUUAUCUCUAGUCGUCGCCUUCUUACGAACAUAUCAAUCGUGUCACUCUUGAACCCUGGUGCCACCACUUUUUCUCUAGCAAAGAUCUAAAAAAAUCUACUUCAUUGUAAAGUGGGUAAGACUUCGACUUUGUUGGAAUAUACGGGAGUAGGAAUACAACUCACUCUACUUAGAUGACAAUCCUAAAAAUAUACACAAGUGCACCUCACUAAGCAAAAUAUGUUCUGCAUUAUUCAAGGUCGUCGAUUUAACAUCCCAUGUUUCUGAGCCUGAGAUACAAUAUUCAUUCAAUUAUGUUCAUACGUGUGUGUUCUUAUAUAUGUGCAUGUACAUCCUUCAAUUGUAGUGUAUCCCACCCAAAAUAUUUUAAUGAGGAAACAAUUCAUUUAGAAAACUACAUAUUGUUUAUAUUUGAUAAAGAAUAUCCAUAAAAGCUUGUGAAUCAAAAGUUGUUUUGGUCAAGUUUUAAUGGCUUACGGGGUUAAGAUAAAUAUUCUACAAAACAUAAUAUAAUUUAGCUCUAGCAACUUAAGUGAUCUAAAACCACAACAACUUAGGUGCUCAAGUGAACUCUAUGCAGCUUGGAUUCAAGACAAUGGCAAGAAAACAAGGAAAGGGUCUAUUUUACUCAUGCUUCAUAAGUGUUGCAUUUGUAUGAAUAAUCCAUCGUAGUGUUAUCUUCUCGGUCUUUUCGGACUCUUAGGGCUUCAAAAACCAAAUCACUUAACCCCGAGUUAGGUUAAUGUUUUAAGGCAUAUUACCCAUGUGUCAUUCAUUAACCAACUGUUGAUGUGUUAUUCCAUAUGUAGGAACUCUCACAUAUCUUUUCUUCCCCAUGUCACCUUAAUGUCUUCAUCUUGUUUUCCUUCACUUCUAUCCUCUCACACAUUCUUAUCAAUUUCUCACGAGCAACUAUGUUCCCCUCUAGCAAUAUAUGAUACCAAAAAGAGAUUGCAUUGAGAAGCACAUCGAUGAAAAUUUGGCGCAACCAUGGUUUAAUGCAGGAUUAUAGAGAGAGACUCGAAAUGAGAGUCCUAGGGAAUUUUUGUGGUUCAUUAUGUCAUUCACUAUGUAUGAUGACAAGUGGGGAAAAUGGUGAUGCAGUAACAUGGUUACCACGUGAGUGAUACCAUCUUCAUAUCCCACAUAAGGAUUAAGUAAUAUUAUUUUACAUUUUAGGGGUUAAAUCAACCCAAUAAAUAGUUUGAGAGAUUAUCCAGAUAAAUGUGAUACUUUAAGCAAACAAAUAUACUUCUUUGAGAAUAAAUGAAGAAUUUACCACUAACAUGUGCAACGGCAAAAUGAUUUAGCCAACAUCACUUCUCAACAAAGUUCAAUCACGUGGAAUAUUUUGAUAUGUCUAUUUGAAGACAGUAGUGUAUAAUCAAUUAAGUAUGUCUAGAGGGAAUGAAUAGGCUACUAGGCAAAAGGGGAUUAUUUUCCCAAAUUUUAGUUCCCUUCAUAGUUUUAACCUUUUAUAUGGUACUCAAUCAAGCACCCUACGCAUGCAAGUCUACAAGAGUAUAGGCAACGACAUGUGAAGAUUUGCAAGAGUAAAAUAAGAGUAGAGUUAGAGAAAUGUAGACAUUGUGUGGCUGGAUGAAGAUUAUUCCCGUGAUUCGGAUGGUUGGCACUACCCUACUCCAGGUUGGUGGAGGCUUCGUCCACGAAGGAUCUAAGAUCACGAAGAUCAAGGUUGCGAGUUGCACUAAGGAACUAGCCCGUGAAGGACCAUAACCUACCAAGUGUCCACGAAGGAUCAACCAACCUAUGUCAUCAUGGCAAUACGUCCAUGAAUGAUCGAUCGGCCUCACUCGAGGUAGAUCUUCAUGAAGAAUGUGAUAUCUAGGCCGUUACAAACUUCUUGGUUUCUUCACAAUCUUGAUCCCAAGCACCUAGCUGAUCUAGAAGGUGCACACCUACAAAAAAUAAUAAGAUUGAGAUUGCUUGUUGAUGAAUCCCUUACUCUUGUGCUUUAAAAUAUGAUAUCUUCCACACACAAACUAUCUCAAGAUUUGGCUUUUGGAUUGGAGAGUAUGGGUGGGAAGCGAAGAGGUGGUUUGAUGGUUGGAGUAGAACACCCUCUGAAAUAAGCACAAGAAGUUGGAGUUCUCUCUCGAAUCGUAGGGCACGAGUGGGGUUUGCUUUGACUGAACCAAUGGGAUGGGUGGGGUAUAUAUAGGCCGGACCAAAAAUAUGAUCAUUACACAUGCUUUAAUACAACUCUGAAGCUCUGAAUAGACUUAAAGAUGCCAACUUUCAAAUGAAUGGAAUGGUCCGACUGGAUAACAUCCGGAGGAUCUGAGGUGACUACUGCAGCUAUGACACACUCUUUGUAACCACUUUGAAAAUUCUGAGCAGAUGCGUCCAAAAAUUCUAAGAUGGCAAUAGAAGGUUUUUCCAAAUUCUUUAGUGGUUCCGAGUGGAGUACUUGGCAGCUCCGAAGUGCUAGGGUUUGCAACGACUAUAUCUGGAUGAACUGCUCAGCGGUUCCGACUGGAAGAUCUUGGCAGCUCAAUGGCAUGAAGGUAGAUAUAGUGGACAAAAUUAAAGGUUUUGAGGUAAUUGGAGUUUGACCUUAAGCAGGAAAGGAUCAUUAAAUCAUCAAAAUAAGUAUUUGAGGAACUGAAUAUAAAUAAAUCAUCUAUAUGCUAAGUUUGGCAAAACUUCCCAUAAAAGUGAUAUUCAUAAGGAAACGAUAAAAUGUUUCAAGGGGUAUCUAAUAAGGAAAUUCUUGGUAUGCACAAUAAUAAUCCUAUAAUAGCACAACCUAUACCACCCACCACCUCCUACUUGUGUUUGACUACUUAUUUAUUUAUUAUGUCAAACAAAACCAUCCAAUAAAAAACUUACUUUGAGGGGGUACUUCUUUUUCAAAGCUGCAAGAACGGAAUGUUUUAAAAGAAUUCAUCAUAACUAAAAUCCCUACACAUGGUGUAGUUACGAAAUAUCCUAGUGUUUUAACAACACAAAUAACCGAACGUGAACCAAUCAGUGGUAUCCUUGACUAUAUUCUACACACUUUGGGGAAAAUAAUCUUCAUUAAAAUUUUGACAAGGGUGUUGUUUUUAUGUCUAAAAUGAAGUACAACUAUUGACACUAUUGACAUCGAGACUGGAAGGGAACUAGUGGUUUAGCCAUUUAAGUAGCUGAACUAUAGUGGACACGUUGGUCGUACCACUUGCCCUCUUGUCCUCUUCCUAGGUUUUCUAUGACCUUGUUAUAUCCUUAGAAUAAGAAUCAGUCUCGUGUGUGGUUGUCAAUGGUAAUUAUACGUAAACUCGUGCAGCACUACAGUUAAACCAUAGCAAGAUAAAAGAACAACAUGAUCCAAGUUCUUAGUGGAGCAAAAGUAAAAAAGAUAUCAAUCCAACUCACUCCCUCUCUCUCUCUAUCUANNNNNNNNNNNNNNNNNNNNNNNNNNNNNNNNNNNNNNNNNNNNNNNNNNNNNNNNNNNNNNNNNNNNNNNNNNNNNNNNNNNNNNNNNNNNNNNNNNNNNNNNNNNNNNNNNNNNNNNNNNNNNNNNNNNNNNNNNNNNNNGGGGGGGGGGGCACUCAAUUCUAGUUUGAGAAUUGUUCUUGUAAUAGCAAUCACAAGUUUAUUAGGAAGUUCUUGUAAUAUCAAUCACAAGUUUAUCAAGUAUCUUCCACAUAUGAAGGUUACACAUGCAUUUUGCGUUAUACUUUAUAAGAGUAGACAUUUUCACAUAUGUGCAUUUUGUCACUAUCUUCAAAAUAACACUCAUGCCAAUGGUGUAUAAUAUUCACAUAUCUAGUUUUAGGAACAUAUUGGCAAACUCUUUACCUGUCCAUAAUUGGUUGCGAGAAAAAAAUAUCAAAGAUAUUGGACCUUAGCCCAUGUUUUUUCAUCUCCCUAAGUUUAGAUUUCAAUAUUUCCUUUGAUCUAGACCAACCUUCUUGAUGUCUCCUCUAGUCGACAUCAUUUUUAGUGAAACCAAUUGAUAUCUACGUGUCAAUAUAACAAACACUCUCUCUUUACAAGAACAAGACUUUUAUUCCAUACGUAUGAUAUCAAGAGUAGAAAGAAGCCACACAUAGCCCCGACUUCCAAAAAGGAUGCAACUUACGCUAUAGAACAUGUGCUUUAGUGUUUAGUCCCUCUCUCCAAAGCCGAAACAGGCAUCCUGAAAGUGAGUUUUCUUCUAGAGAAACUCACUAAGAAUCUCAUUAAGGAUUGAGGCAUUCUUCUUCAUCAAAUCUGUGAGAGCUUCAAAUUAGUCCAAAGGACAUCUCGGAAUCGAAGAUCAAGAACUAAGGACGGCGUCCGAGCAAUUGGACCAUGGGUGCCGAUGAGCCCAAAAGUUAUCCUUUCAUGUCCCUGCAACAUGUACUUGUUAUACUGCAAUCUUCAUUGUCAUGACAGCACACCAUCAGCGUCAAUCUUGGCAAGAUGCCCCUUAGGCGAGAUCCACUUCUUCGCCUAGUUUGUUCCUCUCCUGAAAAUAACGACUGCAUCUAGCCCCGCAGCGUAGCCAAAAAAUAGAGGCCAUCCAGUUAUUUGUUGAUGGAACACAAGGACAACAUUGGUGUUUGAAAUUCAUUAUCAUGACCUACUCACUGGAUCACCCACGUUGUCGGCAAAACCUUUGCCAAGUCAUCCUGAUUUAGCAUCACCAAUAAACAAAAUUGAGAUCCGCGUUCAUCCCUUGAACAUAAACAAAGAAAACAUGUCGCAAGUACCCAAACUUUGCCGAAUCUUUACUAAUUACCGGGCAAUCUUUUUAUUCUUCCACCACAUGCAAGUGGCCCAAGCAGCUUGUUAAGACGACCACACAAAGAAUCAUCCAGUAUUCUUAUGAUGUACUCAAGAAUUUGACAAAAUAUGUAGCAUUGCCUCAUUUUCUCUAUCAUUAAAAUUGUUGAUCUAGUAUCUUCACCCUCCAUGAAUCAUUAGAUCCAUCUAUCUACUCCCUGGCCAUAGAUAGGGCUUAGUUACCUUCAGAACAUCGGCCUAGGAUCUAGUUCUCUCUUAAAAAUCAACAUAUCAUCAGCCAACUCAAACCUCUUAGGGAAAUUCAAAGGAUUGGAAUACUAGAUGCUUGUUUUGAAAUGUUAUGUAGACAAACAAACCAAAAUCUUGUAGGAUUCAAAUGGACAAGAUAUUGCAAUUGUGUGUAUGUCAUAUUCCAGUGUUCCUUAGAAUCAUGUGAAUUAAUCUUGACAGAGGAAUUAGACCAGGCAGACAGCUUAGCGUAUCAUUUAUGGGCAUAAGAAAAUCUCAAGCAACAUAGAUUUGCAAUACCCUUUUUUGGCAAAUCAUGCUGGCUCAUAAUACCAACUCAGGAGGCUCGUUGUCAGCCAAACUAAAAAGUAAUAGUAGUUCGGCCCAAGUAAAUUGGGACAAGGCCUGUCUCUGACUGCCAGGUAGUGAUCCAUGAUAUUCGAAGUGAUACUGGAGGUACAUAUGCAAGUAUAAUCAAGGAAAUUGGAACUACUGCUCAUGAAUUCCAAGACGCUCAGCCUCACUAAACAUGUCUGUGGUUAGAUAUAGGCUGCCAUUAGUGGCUUCUAAAUCCCCCUGAUCUAAGUUGUAUCCCCAUGAAUUUUGUUCAAUGAAUAAAGUGUGUUUAGAUGNNNNNNNNNNNNNNNNNNNNNNNNNNNNNAAACAGCUCUAACUGACUACUGUUGCAAGGUCUCAGACAAGAAAAUAUGUGAGCCAUUGGACACAGAACACCACAACAGAUGAUCAACUGCUGACCAAAUGGAUAAGAUUUUGAUCUCUGCCAACUCUUAUAAAUCUUAAUAAAUCACUAGUGAAUAGCAUGGAUACUGUGCCAACCCCAAGUGUUGAGCCAACUACUUCAACUUGCAACCAGAGGUUGAAAUCGCCUUUAUACAACGAAAGGUAUUGGUAUAAGAGAUAUUCUUGACAACAAACAAAUUGUAGGGUUUAGCAAAGCCAGAUUAGAACUCGUGACAGAUAUAAACACUACUAACUGAAUCCAAGCUGACCAAAAUGGCCUUACAGUUCGUGAGCAUCAAGCUGAACUGCAAUUUACUCGACUCUUGAAGCUUAUUUGAGGUGAACCUAAGAUUGCGCUGUCUGCAGCGCCGUUUGUUUUACAUUCAAAUGGCCCAUCAGAACAGCUACAGAACUAAACAUCAAAGCUCAACUAGAAUAGUAUCAACCAACACAAGUGUAUUUUCCCACUUAAGAUAGGUCGUCGUCCCUUCUACAAGAAGGCUCAAAUACUUUGCUAAAUUCUGCAGUUACAGAAUAACCUCAAUGAUUAUAGGUCGCAAGACCAUGCAAAUGUUGGCCCAAGAAGAAACAACAAAUGUGGUAGGAAUGCUCCUGUAGGAAACCAUUUGGAAAGAGCUCUUGUGCGUACAGCUCUUAUCAGAAUCCUAACCUCCUUUGAACCUCAGACAAAAAAUGAAAUGUAAGACCAACAGGACAGCUCAGAAGGAAUAAUGGAGCUAAGGAAACAUGUACCUGCGCCCAUGUUCUGAAAGUUUUACUCCCUCCAUAAAGUGAAUCGAGUGAGGCAUUUUGGCUCCCGAGCUCAU
rnacentral:lncRNA from 1 species